UUUUCCUUUCUUGAUAGUGUUCUGUUUUUCUAUCUUUCCUUCAAUUCCUAACUCAAUGAUUUUCGAUUGUGUAUCUGACACGUGUCCAGAUGCCAUGAUGAGUUUGGGCGAAGCUGCCCCACCUUCCAAUUAAAGUCCGUUGCGUGCAAUUGCUGGAGUUGUCAUAGAUAAUCAUCUCGUCCCAAUCGAUCAACUCGAAACAAAAACCCUUCAUUAUAAUCAAAAUAUGCAAGCAUUAGUGUACAUAUGUCAAUUGCAAUUGAAAUUAACAAGCGCAAUCUUAAGUUCUAAAUAAGAAAUUUGUUAAUUAGUCGAUAAAAGUCUUAACUGUCAAUGUUUCAAUUCCACUGUUUCCCAGUCGCGGUUAGCUGUAUAUGAAAUGUGCCGUUUUAAAAGUCAUUUAGUUAUCGAUAGCUUUGUUUUGAGCUUGUCAGAUUGGGAGUCAAGGUGUGCGAGUGCGGAAACUCUCUCAAUUUAUAAUUUCUGACUUUUAUUAGAUAUUUUUUGUUUGUUUUGGAUUUUCAGUUUUUGUUUUAUUUUGACUAUUAAUGUAACUGUGAAUCCAGGCAAUAAGAAAGCAGCAGACAACUCUCAACCAAAGCACAGCAUUGCGAGUAUGCCAAAAUCAUCAACACCGAAGAGCAAAACAAUUAGCAUGGGUCGUACCAAAGAAUGUCGCGGUCGUAUGUGUGUGCACACAUAUGUUGUUGAAUGUGUCACACAUUUAAGCAUCAUAUCCAUGUUCCAUAUGCCCAGGACGAACUAUGUUGGAAUAUUGAUUAUUGUGACUGCAUUGAUUUAACUGAAAGCGGCUUCUGUAUAUGUGAGCUGAGAUGCGUUUUGUGAGUGGAACUAUCAAUACUAUUUGAUAGUUCUAUAAAAGGGAAUAUAUAUACACAUAGAUAUAUAUAUAUAUACAUAUAUAUAAUGAAUAAUUUCAUUAAAUAAACUCUUCAGAUAUACGCGAAGAAAAUUGUAA